rnacentral:rRNA from 1 species
AUUGAACGCUGGCGGCAUGCUUUACACAUGCAAGUCGAACGGCAGCGCGGGCUUCGGCCUGGCGGCGAGUGGCGAACGGGUGAGUAAUACAUCGGAACGUGCCCAGUAGUGGGGGAUAGCUCGGCGAAAGCCGGAUUAAUACCGCAUACGACCUGAGGGUGCAAGCGGGGGAUCUUCGGACCUCGCGCUAUUGGAGCGGCCGAUGGCAGGUUAGCCAGUUGGUGGGGUAAAGGCCUACCAAGGCGACGAUCUGUAGCUGGUCUGAGAGGACGACCAGCCACACUGGGACUGAGACACGGCCCAGACUCCUACGGGAGGCAGCAGUGGGGAAUUUUGGACAAUGGGCGAAAGCCUGAUCCAGCAAUGCCGCGUGUGUGAUGAAGGCCUUCGGGUUGUAAAGCACUUUUGGCGGGAACGAAAGGGACUGUGCCAAUACCACGGUUCGAUGACGGUACCCGCAGAAUAAGCACCGGCUAACUACGUA